GAGUGGGGAGAUCAGAAACUAAGGAAGGGGUUGCUAAGGCUGGGAGAGGUAAAGGUGCUGAGCCACCCCCUCACGACCACCUGAUGUCAAGGUCACCACCCCACAACUGAGGCCCAGGAGAUCAGGGCUUGGAACUGGGAGGGUGUCAGCCUGGAGCUGCCUUCAUUUGGAAAGUAACUGCUCCACAGUGAAGUCAACAAAGGAAGCAGAAAGAUGGGAGCCCAAGUCCUGGUGGCAUCAUUUGAACCCCUAGAUCCAGCUGUACCUGAAGCAGAUAAGCUCAAUUAUU